rnacentral:piRNA from 1 species
UCAAGCCUUAGAUGAUCUGUCAGAAUCUG